rnacentral:tRNA from 1 species
GGGGCGUAGCUCAGAUGGUAGAGCACUCGCUUAGCAUGCGAGAAGUACGGGGAUCCAUACCCCGCACCUCCA